GAAGAAUAUCUGAAAAUACAUCAUCGACACAUGACGAACAUGGGUAAAGGACCAGUGGGAACCAACAAGAUAUUGAUAUGCUUGUGGUUGGUGAUGCUGCUUCUCCUUUCAUCUGAAAAGAUGGGAUCUGAAGGUUGUAAAGGUCAUGAUAGCCAAACCUGGGAUGGCAACAUGUGUGUAAAGCACGACACCUGCAAUGUGGUCUGCCAGAGAGAGGAUUAUGACAGAGGCCGCUGCUACGUGACUGUAUGCAUGUGCUACAAGAACUGCGUUGCUUUACCAAUUUAGGCAUGCUCGAUCGGUGUGCUAGUCAUGCAAUAAAAUAAAGGAUUUGUGCUUGAUGGUGUAA